AUGCCUUGUCUUACUUUUUCUGCGUACGUGUUUGUGUCACAGGCUGCAACACAUCUUGCAAAGCGUGGGCUGGCAACUGUGGUUUACGGCGAGGCAGCCGCGGCCGCAAAAUCAUCUAAUGCCGCAGGUAUGCAUUGCAUUGCUUGCUGCCCCUCCCUCCGCCGCAUUCAGGAUUUACUACAGCUUCCGUCGAACUACUUAUGUGUCCUCAACUGCCAACAACUAGCUGGUACUAAUCUCCGGUCAAAUCGGAAAAAAACACUGACAAGAUUAGCAUCACCCCCGCGCAAGGAUGGCGCGCACAGAGAAAUAUAA
rnacentral:rRNA from 1 species